rnacentral:rRNA from 1 species
UACGGGGGGGGCAAGCGUUGUUCGGAAUUACUGGGCGUAAAGGGCGCGUAGGCGGUUUGCUAAGUUGGAUGUGAAAACUCUGGGCUUAACUCAGAGCCUGCAUCCAAAACUGGCAAACUUGAGUACUGGAGGGGAAAGCGGAAUUCCUGGUGUAGCGGUGAAAUGCGCAGAUAUCAGGAAGAACACCAAUGGCGAAAGCAGCUCUCUGGGACGGUACUGACGCUGAGACGCGAAAGCGUGGGGAGCGAACAGG